UCAGGAAGAAAGCUUGCUUUCUUUGCUGGCGACCGGCGCACGGGUGAGUAACACGUAUCCAACCUGCCCUUUACUCGGGGAUAGCCUUUCGAAAGAAAGAUUAAUACCCGAUAGUAUAAUGAUUCCGCAUGGUUUCAUUAUUAAAGGAUUCCGGUAAAGGAUGGGGAUGCGUUCCAUUAGGUUGUUGGUGAGGUAACGGCUCACCAAGCCUUCGAUGGAUAGGGGUUCUGAGAGGAAGGUCCCCCACAUUGGAACUGAGACACGGUCCAAACUCCUACGGGAGGCAGCAGUGAGGAAUAUUGGUCAAUGGGCGUUAGCCUUGAACCAGCCAAGUAGCGUGAAGGAUGAAGGCUCUAUGGGUCGUAAACUUCUUUUAUAUAAGAAUAAAGUGCAGUAUGUAUACUGUUUUGUAUGUAUUAUAUGAAUAAGGAUCGGCUAACUCCGUGCCAGCAGCCGCGGUAAUACGGAGGAUCCGAGCGUUAUCCGGAUUUAUUGGGUUUAAAGGGAGCGUAGGUGGACUGGUAAGUCAGUUGUGAAAGUUUGCGGCUCAACCGUAAAAUUGCAGUUGAUACUGUCAGUCUUGAGUACAGUAGAGGUGGGCGGAAUUCGUGGUGUAGCGGUGAAAUGCUUAGAUAUCACGAAGACUCCGAUUGCGAAGGCAGCUCACUGGACUGCAACUGACACUGA
rnacentral:rRNA from 1 species